rnacentral:misc_RNA from 1 species
AAGUCGUAACAAGGUUUCCGUAGGUGAACCUGCGGAAGGAUCAUUAACACGUAUCCACGUUAAACAACCCUGUGAACUCAGCGCUCUUGUAACCCAGGUGGAACAGCAAUCCCGGUAAUCAAUGGAACAGUUUUGAUUCGGGACCUCUGUCCAAAAGGUAUCAAGUUACAAUCGAGUUAGGAGCAGUGGCAUGGUUUCCCUAAGCAGUGCAGAAAAAGUUGCCAGAGGUCGAUCACCGGCCGGCAGACAUGUCACAGGGCUAUAUGCCCCUUCAUUCACACCUUGCCUAAUCAUGCCCCGCGGAAACAACAACUGUUCACAAUGGAUAUCUUGGUUCUC